rnacentral:rRNA from 1 species
UACGUAGGGGGCUAGCGUUGUCCGGAAUCAUUGGGCGUAAAGAGCGUGUAGGCGGUCCGGUAAGUCCGCUGUGAAAGUCGGGGGCUCAACCCUCGAAUGCCGGUGGAUACUGUCGGGCUAGAGUGCGGAAGAGGCGAGUGGAAUUCCUGGUGUAGCGGUGAAAUGACGCAGAUAUCAGGAGGAACACCUAUUGCGAAGGCAGCUCGCUGGGACGUAACUGACGCUGAGACGCGAAAGCGUGGGGGAGCAAACAGG